rnacentral:rRNA from 1 species
GAGUUUGAUCCUGGCUCAGGAUGAACGCUGGCGGCGUGCUUAACACAUGCAAGUCGAACGAACCUUCGGGUUAGUGGCGGACGGGUGAGUAACGCGUGGGAAUCUGCCCUCAGGAGGGGGAUAACGGCUGGAAACGGCCGCUAAUACCCCAUAUGCCGAGAGGUGAAAUGAAUUUCGCCUGAGGAUGAGCCCGCGUCUGAUUAGCUAGUUGGUGAGGUAAGAGCUCACCAAGGCAUCGAUCAGUAGCUGGUCUGAGAGGAUGAUCAGCCACACUGGGACUGAGACACGGCCCAGACUCCUACGGGAGGCAGCAGUGGGGAAUUUUCCGCAAUGGGCGAAAGCCUGACGGAGCAACGCCGCGUGAGGGAUGAAGGCCUCUGGGCUGUAAACCUCUUUUCUCAAGGAAGAAGAUCUGACGGUACUUGAGGAAUAAGCCACGGCUAAUUCCGUGCCAGCAGCCGCGGUAAUACGGGAGUGGCAAGCGUUAUCCGGAAUUAUUGGGCGUAAAGCGUCCGCAGGCGGCCCUUCAAGUCUGCUGUUAAAAAGUGGAGCUUAACUCCAUCAUGGCAGUGGAAACUGUUGGGCUUGAGUGUGGUAGGGGCAGAGGGAAUUCCCGGUGUAGCGGUGAAAUGCGUAGAUAUCGGGAAGAACACCAGUGGCGAAGGCGCUCUGCUGGGCCAUAACUGACGCUCAUGGACGAAAGCCAGGGGAGCGAAAGGGAUUAGAUACCCCUGUAGUCCUGGCCGUAAACGAUGAACACUAGGUGUCGGGGGAAUCGACCCCCUCGGUGUCGUAGCCAACGCGUUAAGUGUUCCGCCUGGGGAGUACGCACGCAAGUGUGAAACUCAAAGGAAUUGACGGGGGCCCGCACAAGCGGUGGAGUAUGUGGUUUAAUUCGAUGCAACGCGAAGAACCUUACCAGGGUUUGACAUCCUGCGAACCUCUUGGAAACGAGAGGGUGCCUUCGGGAGCGCAGUGACAGGUGGUGCAUGGCUGUCGUCAGCUCGUGUCGUGAGAUGUUGGGUUAAGUCCCGCAACGAGCGCAACCCACGUCUUUAGUUGCCAGCAUUUAGUUGGGCACUCUAGAGAGACCGCCGGUGAUAAACCGGAGGAAGGUGUGGAUGACGUCAAGUCAUCAUGCCCCUUACAUCCUGGGCUACACACGUACUACAAUGCUACGGACAAAGAGCAGCAAGUUCGCGAGGACAAGCAAAUCUCAUAAACCGUGGCUCAGUUCAGAUCGUAGGCUGCAACUCGCCUACGUGAAGGAGGAAUCGCUAGUAAUCGCAGGUCAGCAUACUGCGGUGAAUACGUUCCCGGGCCUUGUACACACCGCCCGUCACACCAUGGAAGUUGGCCACGCCCGAAGCCGUUACUCCAACCCUCGGGAGGAGGACGUCGAAGGUGGGGCUGAUGACUGGGGUGAAGUCGUAACAAGGUAGCCGUA